UCUUGGGACAGAUGGCCCUGAUCUCCUGAGCCUGUCCCUCCAGGUUUGGGGAUGUGACCCCAACACCUGCUCUCUAGGGCUCCCUUAAUUCAUGACUAUUCAUUACCCACCCCAGCAGAGCUAGUAUCUUCCUUCUUCCACCCCUCCCGGCCCAAGAAAUGCAACUGAACCACCUGGAGCAAGUCUGAGUCCCUGUCUGUGGUGGCCAAGGACUGGCUCCUGCCUUGAAGCUUGCAUUUGGCGUUGCUUCUAACCAUGGAGGGACAGACCCCCGGAAGCAGAGGCCUUUUGGAAAAGCCCGCAGCCGCCAGCCCCAGUCUGUCCUCACUGGGCGCUGUCUUCAUUCUCCUGAAAUCCGCGUUGGGGGCUGGCCUGCUCAACUUCCCCUGGGCUUUCUACCAGGCAGGUGGGGUGGGCCCGGCCUUCCUGGUGGAGCUGGUCUCCUUGGUCUUCCUGAUCAGUGGGCUGGUCAUCCUGGGCUAUGCUGCCUCCGUCAGCGGCCAGGACACCUACCAGGGUGUGGUCGGAGGGCUGUGUGGCCCCGCCAUCGGGAUGCUGUGCGAGGCUUGCUUCAUCGUCAACCUGCUUAUGAUCUCUGUGGCCUUCCUCAGGGUGAUUGGGGACCAGCUGGAGAAAUUGUGUGACUUCCUCCUGCCCAGCGCAGCCCUGCAGCCCUGGUACACCGACCAGCGCUUCACCUUGACCUUGCUUUCCCUGCUGGUCAUCCUGCCCCUGUCCGCCCCAAGGGAGAUCGGGUUCCAGAAAUACACAAGCAUCCUAGGCACCCUGGCCGCCUGCUACCUGGCCCUGGUCAUCAUCGCGCAGUAUUACCUCGGGCCGCAGGGCCUCGUUCGUGAGCCCCGCCCUGCACGGAGCCCUUCCUCCUGGACCUCCGUAUUUAGUGUCUUCCCCACCAUCUGCUUCGGAUUUCAGUGUCACGAAGCUGCUGUCUCUAUCUACUGCAGCAUGCGCAACCAGAGCCUGUCCCACUGGGCCCUGGUCUCCGUGCUCUCCUUGCUGGCCUGCUGCCUCAUCUACUCACUGACAGGUGUGUACGGCUUCCUGACCUUCCAGACGGACGUUUCUGCUGACAUCUUGAUGUCCUACCCGGGCAAUGAUGGGGUCAUCAUCGUCGCCCGAGUCCUCUUUGCCGUCUCUAUCGUGACUGUCUACCCCAUCGUGCUCUUCCUGGGCAGGUCAGUGAUGCAGGGUUUUUGGAGGAGGAGCUGCUGCCAGGUAUGCGGGCCCAGGGCCCUGGCCGACCCGUCCAGGCUGGGGGUCCGGAUGCCCAUGACCAUCCUGUGGGUCACCGUGACACUUGCCAUGGCCCUGUUCCUGCCGGACCUUAGCGAGAUCAUCGGCAUUAUUGGCGGCGUCAGUUCCUUCUUCAUCUUCAUCUUCCCAGGUCUGUGUCUCAUCUGUGCCAUUAGCGCCGAGCCCAUAGGACCACGGGUUAAUUGCUGUGCUUGCCGGCACCAACCGUGCUCAGGCCCAGGGACGUCCUGGACGCUGCUGGAUUCAAGCCACUCUUCCUCUGCCUUGGGACAUCUGCUUGAAGCCAGUGGGGCCAGAGCCAUGGGCUGACAUUCGAGGACACCUCCCUCUGGGUGAGGCAACUGAGGCUUGGAAAAGUCAAGGCUGCCUAUCCUAAGAGGUACACAGUUAAGGAUUGCCUCUGAGUGCCUCCUGAGGAUGAUUUGGGUUUUGACCUGGACUUGGCGAGGAUGCAGACUGGCUCUUGAAUGCAGCUAGUGAACUUCUGCUUUGGCAGCUGGCCCGAUACAAAAGCACCAAAUGAGAAUGAAUAAUCAAAGCACCCCCGGGGCUGCAGCAACCUCUCAGAAACCUCCAUCUGGCUCCAGAUACAAAGCCCUUCACUGGCGUCUGCAGCAGGAAGCUGUUUCUUUCAAGUGGCCUUCCCAGGACAAGGAGACCUGUUCCACCAGCCCCUCCUUGGUCCUCAGCCCCAACCUCUGGUCCAGGCCACCACUGUGCUUGGUCCCUUGCAAAUGGGCCUGGUGGCAGCUCUUUGUCCAGACCCUCUCUAGCCUGUCUCAGGGGACUCCAACUUCUCAAAUCUGCCCCAAGCAGCCCCCCAGGAACUCUGCUCCUCAUCACCAGAGUGGGCCUGAGGAAGGUGAGCAGGUGUCAGGUGGAGAAGGGGGUUCAUCCUACUUGGGGAACUCCAGGGAGAGGGACAGGAUGGCAUUCAGGUUGGGGCAAGUGUGAGUCGAAUUUACACUUGACUUAAGGAUGGGUUGCGGCCUGAGUUUUUGGUUGAUUCUGAGGUGCAGGUUAAGUGAUGGGGUUGGAGAAAAGGUUUAAUCAGGUACAGACUUAGAAGUAGAGUUAAGGUUACGAAGUAGAGUUAGGAUUAAUAUUCGGUUACAGUUUGGUUUCAGAUGUGAUCCAGUGAGGAUCAAGAUGGCAGAGUUACUGUUGGGACCGGGAAUAUGCACAGUGGCCUGGGUCAGGACUGGACUGAAUUAGCUGAAGGGUGAUAUCACCGCCAACUUCCCCUCUCACUAGCCUAUGUAAAUCCUGCAAAACCUAGGGUCUCUUCCUGCUUAGCCACGUGUGCUCAGGAAAGACCAACUUGCCAACGCGGUGUCAAUCUGCCCAUUCCCGAUUCACCCCAGACAGUGGGGCCUCUUACUUUUAGUUUAGCGAGUUGGGGAAUUUCAGGGUCCCUGCCCUCCAGGGGGAUGCACAGCGGAUACUGGCCUGGGGGAGAAGGAACGUGCCUCCUCUCGGACCCUGGGCGUCUUAUGCCAG